ensembl:processed_transcript
AAAUAUUAGUAUUUGUAUAUUCUAUUGAAUUAUAUUUCACUGAUUAUUAUUCACUAUUAUAGUUGGGAAAUUUAUAAAAGCAUUUUAAUUUUGAGGUAAACUGUACAUGCAUUUUAUUAAUUAUAUCAACAUUAUCAAAAUUGGAUACCAGGAAAGACUAUAUUUUGAUGAGAAAAGUACAAUAUUGAAGAACAAAGGACAUUUUCCUAACUUUGGUAAACACUGACUAACACUGAUGGGGAACCUGGGCAUACUUGUGGUUAUAAAGGUCAAUCCCAAACUUCACACACCCAUGUACUUUUUUCUUAGCCACCUAUCAUUUUUGGAUAUAUGUUAUUCUAGUGUAUUUACACCCAAACUUUUGCAGAUCUUGAUUAUGGAAGAUAGGACGAUUUCUUUUAUUGGAUGCAUGAUACAAUUUUUCUUUAUUUGUACAUUCGUGAUUACAGAAAUGUU